rnacentral:lncRNA from 1 species
GUUGGUGUAUGGUCCUGAUAUAAACCAUGGUGAACUUUGAGUUCAAAUGAUAUCAUCCUUGAUAUAACUUGUACACACGUCCUAAACAAAAAAGCUUAUAUGCAUGUUAAUCGAAAUGUUUAACAUUGACUCACAAUUUCAGCAGGGGCAGUGAAAUGGAAAGAUUAAAUGUAUAAUACAUAGCUCACAACGGAAGAAAAAUGUUAUAUAUAUUUUUUGUUUAUUCGAGAAUGAUAUACAUUUGGACAAACACGUGAAAACCAAAACGUUCGUUUAAUGUAUAACUGACGUGAAACUAUGGUAGUGCUAUAACGCCACGGAGCCAUAGCGAGGCGGAUGAGACAAUGAGAAAGAGGAGUACAACUCCGGCGGGAGGAUGAGACGGUGGAGCAGAAGAAGAAACCGGCGGAGAAGCGAAGGGAGCAAAAGCCGGGUCAGGGUACGAGGAGCCGUCGCUAGUGUCGGGAUCAGGAGGGCUUGGAGAAGAAGGGAUUGUACCGGCGCCGGCGCCGGAAGGUAAAGCGUCUCCUGGGGAAGGGA